rnacentral:rRNA from 1 species
GAGUAGGGCGUGAAAGCGUCCAGCCCCUCGGGCCGGUGUACAGGUGCUGCAUGGCUGUCGUCAGCUCGUGCUGUGAAGUGUUGGGUUAAGUCCCGCAACGAGCGCAACCCCUGCUAUCUGUUGCCAGCAAGUAAUGUUGGGGACGUCAGAUGGAACUGCCGGUGACAAACCGGAGGAAGGUGGGACGACGUCAAGUCAUCAUGGCCCUUAUGUCCUGGGCUACACACGUGCUACAAUGGCCGGUACAGAGCGCAGCGAAGCCGCGAGGCAAAGCGAAUCGCAAAAAGCCGGUCUCAGUACGGAUUGGAGUCUGAAACUCGACUCCAUGAAGUUGGAAUCGCUAGUAAUCGCGCAUCAGCAUGGCGCGGUGAAUACGUUCCCGGGCCUU